rnacentral:rRNA from 1 species
CCAGCAGCUGCGGUAAUUCCAGCUCCAAUAGCGUAUAUUAAAGUUGUUGCAGUUAAAAAGCUCGUAGUUGGAUCUCGGGUCCAGGCUUGCGGUUCGUUUCGCGACGAUACUGCCCGUCCUGACCUACCUCCCGGUUUUCCCCCGGUGCUCUUCGCUGAGUGCCUCGGGUGGCCGGAACGUUUACUUUGAAAAAAUUAGAGUGCUCAAAGCAGGCAGUCUGCCUGAAUAACCGCGCAUGGAAUAAUGGAAUAGGACCUCGGUUCUAUUUUGUUGGUUUUCGGAACUUGAGGUAAUGAUUAAGAGGGACAGACGGGGGCAUUCGUAUUACGGUGUUAGAGGUGAAAUUCUUG